AAGACUAUACUUUGAGGGAUCAUUUCUAUAGUUUGUUACUACAGAAGUUUCUCUGAACGUGUAGAGUACCCGAAACCAUGAGGAGGAGGUGCAGUGUUCUCUCCUGAGCAUGAAGCUGGCUUUAGGUGUUGUUUCCACAACUGCCAAUUGCCAUUGAUGAUCGUUCUCCUCCUCCUUUGGAGGAGUAAGAGAGAGAGGACGCAGUGUGAGUGCU